AUGCUCAGCACUACUAGCAUUGUCUCCUUGGCAGGAUGGAGUGCAAUAAAAAAUAACUAGAAAAACAUCUCUUAAGUGGCUGAAAUCCGGAGGAGGCUGAACUCUGGCUCAUCUUGCACAGGGAAGCCAAGCAGCCAUGCAACUGUGCAGGACUGGAACCAUUUUCUUCUUGUUGGUGAGACUGGCUAGAGUUAAAUCAAAAGAGGUAAAAUUCAAGCUUUGUUGAAAAAACAUUACAUUCCUUGCAAACCCAAUCAGACAUUCAAAAUGUGUUCAGCUCCCCUGAACAUCAAAAGGAGUGAUCAGCAAAUCUCGGGCUUGGUCCUGAUUUGACAAUUUUAAGAAAAACAAAGUAGUCAUGAUAAAUAACUGCCCUUACACCGUUUUGCUUCUCUGGAGACUGAUCUUGAUCUUACCCAUCUCAUUUCAUGCACAUGAAUAUUCCCGUUGAUUAAGGGAAAAAUGCUGCACUUCAAACUCCAGCUAACUGAUUACCUGCCAGUUCUGAAGCUGUGCUCUGAAUUAAUCUGCUCCAAAAGCCAACAGAGAUGACUUAUGUUUGGGCACCUCACAGGAAAGCAGGGAGAUGAAAAGCCUUAGGAAAACUUUGACAAACAACUUGGAGUGUUUGACCAACUAUGCACAGCUGCUGCUGAAUGAAGAAUGCAAGUAACAUGCCAAACAGAGACAAGAGGUGAUCAACAGGGAAGGCAGCUUUUCUGUCUGCACUGAGCAUUUUAUUUUCAAGAAAGGAGAGGAAAUAUGCUGAAUUACCUGUAGGAGGUGUGCCUGCUUUUGCUAAUAGAUGUACUCGGUUUAUGCAUUAAUUCCUAACCGGUCAGAUCCUGUACCAAUGUACACUGGAAUCCCUCUGAGGUCAAUGGAGGUGCAGACCUGUGCACAGCACCUUAAUUUGAUUGAUUUCAUCCCACCCAUUUAAACAUGCCUUACAGACUUGUUUGCAGAGCCAAACCGAAAUAUCUCUGCCCCCUCCAAUUCCCUAUUUCAGGCGAUGAUGUCUCCUCAUAAAUCCCGGAUACGAUAGCACCAGCAUGACCCAUCACUUCAUUACAUCAAUGUGCAGAGCUGUGUAUUGUACUGAGGAGGAAUUUAUCUAGUUGGAAUGGAUCUGGUCCAGGAACAAAUAAAGGAGUUAGGAAUCUGAUUAUUUCUGGGCCAAUUCCGUAUGAAUUACAGCUUCUCAAUUUUCCUAAUGUCAGCUAGUUUUAUACUUCGCUUUGUUUUCUGUCCUCACACAGGAGGUGAAGUAUCUAGCUAGCACAGGCUUCUUGAUUAUCUCCACCAUCUAGCUGAUUUCUUAACG